GACCGCGUAGCUCAGUUGCCAGAGCAUUGGGCUAGUAUUUCAAGGUCGUAGGUUGAACUCCCACCGUGGCCA